rnacentral:tmRNA from 1 species
GGGGCUGACAUGGUUUCGACUUCGGACACUGAGCCAGGGGAAGCGUGCCGGUGCAGGCUGGUGACCACCGUAAGCGUCGCAGCAAACUGAUAAGCGCCGAGAAGAACUCUCAGCGUGACUACGCUCUCGCUGCCUAAGUAGCGACUUGCGUGUCUGUCAGGCCGGGUUUGUCACCGACCCGGACCCUGGCAUCGACUUAGGUGACUUGCCUGUUGGCCGCGUCGGCGGGGCCAACAGGGACACCUUUCCGCCGACUGGGCUCAUCAUCCGGGACGGCGUCCGCCCAAGCCGGAGGGCCGAGUAGAGAUCCUUGCGGACUGCGCACGGAGAAGCCCUGGCAACGUGCCGGAGGACCGGGGUUCAAUUCCCCGCAGCUCCACCA